CUGGGUGUGCAACUCAGUGGUAGAGUGCCUGCCUAGCAUGCACAAGGCCCUGGGUUCCAUCCCCAGCACUUAAA
rnacentral:tRNA from 1 species